GUAGCGGUGAAAUGCGUAGAGAUCUGGAGGAAUACCGGUGGCGAAGGCGGCCCCCUGGACGAAGACUGACGCUCAGGUGCGAAAGCGUGGGGAGCAAACAGGAUUAGAUACCCCUGGUAGUCCACGCCGUAAACGAUGUCGACUUGGAGGUUGUGCCCUUGAGGCGUGGCUUCCGGAGCUAACGCGUUAAGUCGACCGCCUGGGGAGUACGGCCGCAAGGUUAAAACUCAAAUGAAUUGACGGGGGCCCGCACAAGCGGUGGAGCAUGUGGUUUAAUUCGAUGCAACGCGAAGAACCUUACCUGGUCUUGACAUCCACGGAAGUUUUCAGAGAUGAGAAUGUGCCUUCGGGAACCGUGAGACAGGUGCUGCAUGGCUGUCGUCAGCUCGUGUUGUGAAAUGUUGGGUUAAGUCCCGCAACGAGCGCAACCCUUAUCCUUUGUUGCCAGCGGUCGGGCCGGGAACUCAAAGGAGACUGCCAGUGAUAAACUGGAGGAAGGUGGGGAUGACGUCAGGUCAUCAUGGCCCUUACGACCAGGGCUACACACGUGCUACAAUGGCGCAUACAAAGAGAAGCGACCUCGCGAGAGCAAGCGGACCUCAUAAAGUGCGUCGUAGUCCGGAUUGGAGUCUGCAACUCGACUCCAUGAAGUCGGAAUCGCUAGUAAUCGUGGAUCAGAAUGCCACGGUGAAUACGUUCC
rnacentral:rRNA from 1 species